AGAGCGCAGCGGCGAGCGUGACUCCGCCAUCAGGUCCCCGGCUCCCUCCCCGGACCUAGCCCACUCCGCUGCGCCAGCGCCGCGGGCACCCCCGGCCGCCCCCCAGCGAAGACCUCUUCUACGAGACCUACUACAGCCUGAGCCAGCAGUACCCGCUGCUGCUGCUGCUGCUGGGGAUCGUGCUCUGUGCGCUCGCGGCGCUGCUCGCAGUGGCCUGGGCCAGCGGCAGGGAGCUGACCUCAGACCCGAGCUUCCUGACCACUGUGCUGUGCGCGCUGGGCGGCUUCUCGCUGCUGCUGGGCCUCGCUUCCCGGGAGCAGCGACUGCAGCGCUGGACGCGUCCCCUGUCCGGCUUGGUAUGGGUCGCGCUGCUAGCGCUAGGCCACGCCUUCCUGUUCACCGGGGGCGUGGUGAGCGCCUGGGACCAGGUGUCCUAUUUUCUCUUCGUCAUCUUCACGGCGUAUGCCAUGCUGCCCUUGGGCAUGCGGGACGCCGCCGUCGCGGGCCUCGCCUCCUCACUCUCGCAUCUGCUGGUCCUCGGGCUGUAUCUUGGGCCACAGCCGGACUCACGGCCU
rnacentral:lncRNA from 10 species